CUAUCCUGCAAGUCGAGCGAACAGAAGGGAGCUUGCUCCCGGAUGUUAGCGGCGGACGGGUGAGUAACACGUGGGUAACCUGCCUGUAAGACUGGGAUAACUCCGGGAAACCGGAGCUAAUACCGGAUAGUUCCUUGAACCGCAUGGUUCAAGGAUGAAAGACGGUUUCGGCUGUCACUUACAGAUGGACCCGCGGCGCAUUAGCUAGUUGGUGGGGUAAUGGCUCACCAAGGCGACGAUGCGUAGCCGACCUGAGAGGGUGAUCGGCCACACUGGGACUGAGACACGGCCCAGACUCCUACGGGAGGCAGCAGUAGGGAAUCUUCCGCAAUGGACGAAAGUCUGACGGAGCAACGCCGCGUGAGUGAUGAAGGUUUUCGGAUCGUAAAGCUCUGUUGUUAGGGAAGAACAAGUGCGAGAGUAACUGCUCGCACCUUGACGGUACCUAACCAGAAAGCCACGGCUAACUACGUGCCAGCAGCCGCGGUAAUACGUAGGUGGCAAGCGUUGUCCGGAAUUAUUGGGCGUAAAGGGCUCGCAGGCGGGUUUCUUAAGUCUGAUGUGAAAGCCCCCGGCUCACCCGGGGAGGGUCAUUGGGAAACUGGG
rnacentral:rRNA from 1 species